rnacentral:rRNA from 1 species
AUUGAACGCUGGCGGCAGGCCUAACACAUGCAAGUCGAGCGAGCGGCGGACGGGUGAGUAAUGUCUGGGAAACUGCCUGAUGGAGGGGGAUAACUACUGGAAACGGUAGCUAAUACCGCAUACCAUCAGAAGUGCCCAGAUGGGAUUAGCUAGUAGGUGGGGUAAAGGCUAACCUAGGCGGCGAUCCCUAGCUGGUCUGAGAGGAUGACCAGCCACACAGGAACUGAGACACGGUCCAGACUCCUACGAGAGGCGACAGUGGAGAAUAUUGCACAAUGGGCUCAAGCCUGAUGCAGCCAUGCCGCUGUUGUGAAGAAGGCCUUCGGGUUUUAAAGCACUUUCAGCUGGGAGGCGUUACCCGCAGAAGAAGCACCGGCUAACGCCGUGCCAGCAGCCGCGGUAGUAC